rnacentral:tRNA from 1 species
GCCGAAGUGGCGGAACUGGCAGACGCGCAGCGUUCAGAGCGCUGUCCCGUUUUUGGGGUGGAGGUUCGAUUCCUCUCUUCGGCA